GAUGAAGAACGUAGUGAAAUGCGAUACGUAAUGUGAAUUGCAGAAUUCAGUGAAUCAUCGAGUCUUUGAACGCACAUUGCGCCCCCUGGUAUUCCGGGGGGCAUGCCUGUCCGAGCGCCAUUGCUGCCCUCAAGCACGGCUUGUGUGUUGGGCCUCCGUCCUCCUCCCGGGGGACGGGCCCGAAAGGCAGCGGCGGCACCGCGUCCGGUCCUCGAGCGUAUGGGGCUUCGUCACCCGCUCUUGUAGGCCCGGCCGGCGCUUGCCGACACAUCAAUCUUUUUUCCAGGUUGACCUCGGAUCAGGUAGGGAUACCCGCUGAACUUAAGCAUAUCAAUAAGCGGAGGA
rnacentral:misc_RNA from 1 species